UAAUGAGUUCUGACAGUCUGAUUUUUAGAAGCAUAUUUGUAGAUAUUUGACACUAAGUAGCUAUGCUUCUACUUAUGUUAAAGAGAACUCUCACUUCUCUGACAGAAUAAUAGUGUAGAAUUCUUUGUAAAAAAUAGAUAAUUUGAUGUACAGUUGUUUUUCAAGAUUAUUUCAAAACACUUCCUUUUCUUAAAAAUGAGUAGUAAAUAUUUUCUUAAUUUAGUUAAAAUCCUGUUUCUCUUUAUUUUUUAAAGCUGUCGUGUCAUGAGAGAGCCAAGAUUCUUUGAACAUAUUUAACUGCUGGAGGGAAUGGCUCAGAAUCCCAAGUAUCAGCUUCAGCACAUUUACAUCUGGAUUCACUUGAGAAGCAAGGCCUCCAAAGCAGUCCCUUAUCAACCAGAAAUGUCUCACCAUGUCAAAACUGAAAACCCAAAAUUAAAGGUACAUAAGGGAAGAGGCCACCUGUGUGCAGUGACUCACUGUGGUAACCCUGACCACUGGAGAAAUAUGGAUCAAUGAAUAUCAGACUCUUCGGCAUGUCAAACAGACAAAUCAUUGCUCUUCCUGUGGAAAGGAACAAAUGAGAUUUUAAAGGUAACAUAGGUGCUUUUAACCAACACUUCUGAGAGAGCAGAAGCUCCAUUUUACAGACCAGUGGGAAAAGAUACAGAGAGGAAGUGGCUUCUCCCAAACUACAAACUGAAACACCCUUAUUUUACUUACAAUGUUGGUAAAAGAACCCACCUGAAUAUGGGAAAUUUUAGCUAGUCUUGUGGGGUACUAAGAGGUUCCGAGUUCAUUACAGAGAAGGAUGUGAGACAAUGGAGUGUGGGCAAUGUGGUGGGAACUCACAUUUGUGGAGCACCAACUGUGUCAAAUACCAUGUUAGGCUCUUACUACCUUAUUUUCUAAGGGUAGGCAGCUCAGAAAAGAGAAGUAAGGCACAAGUCUAAGUCAUUUGAGAGUCAAAUAGGAAUAUUCUUCCAUUAUACUAUGCUGUUACUCUAAAUACUACUGCUACCUUUGGACUUAUGGACAAAGCUCUCUAAAGAAUAGCAUCUUACUACCAUUGCAAAGAUGAGUAGUCCUGCGAAAAAUGAUUCAUACUUGCAAAGUACUGGCAGCAGUCCAAAUGCUCAUCAAUGGACACAUGAAUAAAAAAAGUGGUAGUUUCAUAUAAUAGAAUACUAUUCAACAACCAAAAGGAAGGGACUACUGAUAAAUACAACAACAUGGGAAAAACUCUAAAAAAUUAUGCUGAGUGAAAGAAGACAGUCACAAGGCUCAUAUUUUAUCUUAUGAUUACAUUAACAUAAAAAGUUCAAAAAGGCAAAUCUAUGGAGGCAAAAAGUUUGCCUAGGGUUGAUUGUAGGGAGGUAGAAAUUGAGUGCAAAUGGGCAUGAGGGAACUUUUUGGUGGAAAAGCUUCUAAAAUUGGAUAUGAUGGUGGUUGUAAAAUUCUAUAAAUUUAAAAAUAAUUGAAUUGUACACUUAAAGUGGAUAAAUUUUAUGGUGUAUAAGAUUAACUUUCUUCCAAUCAAAAAGGCAGAAUUCACUCUGAAUUGGACAGUAGACAAAGGAAUUGUGGGUGUGGUUUCCUUUUCCCUUGUUCAUUCCUAAAUUAGUAGCAACCACCUGGCUCCAGCAGGCCUUGCAGUAAAAUGCUUGACAAAUGGUAUCUUGGCGAAUAUAUCCAAUAGUCCUCUGAUGAAGACCGAUAGUGGCAAAGACUAAUCAGCUGCUUACCAAACCCAUUUCCUCUUUUCUCAGGCACAGAGGGAGACAUAGUGUCCCAAUGUCUCUUGCAGUUGGGGUGGCUGUGAGACAGAGUACUGAGUUCAAUGGUCAGAGAAAUGGAGUCAGAAAUGAUUGUGCUGCUUCCACGCACAGUCCAUUAGAAGUUUGUCACACAUGAGCCUCCUAUUUAUUGUUCCAGUCUGCAAGUUGGAAAUCCAUGCCCAGGGAGACCUCAGAACUAAGUGUUAAAAAAUGGCAGGGCCAUAAGUUGAAGGAACUUGGAUUUCUGGGUCACUUCUUAUGGGAGAGGCCCCAGUUAUCAGAA
ensembl:lncRNA